rnacentral:tRNA from 1 species
GCUAAUUUGGCAGAAAAGUGCUUUAAAUUUAGAAUUUAAAAAUGUAAAUGUAAUACUACAGUUAGUA